GACUAACAAUGUUCCUCUAUUCCACGCUAUCCUGUGGAAUUACACAUCAGUAUAUAACAAGGCACCCUAUUACAGAAUAUGAUCCACAGAUCAAAAAACCUGAACACUGCUGAAGCUUCAAUGACUCUUUCUAGGACAUAAAACAAAGCAAAAAUUAGCAAUUUAAAGGAUACAAUGUAAGGAAGAGAAUUGUCCUUAACAAUGGUGAUUAUGAACACUCAAUACUUAAACCUGA
rnacentral:lncRNA from 1 species